rnacentral:sRNA from 1 species
CCUGUACCUGCGUGCAGAGCUUCUGCAUU